rnacentral:lncRNA from 1 species
GAAAUUCCUCACCAAAGGGAGGAACUUUCAAGGGUGCUCAGUAAAACAUGUUUCCAGAAAGAGGGCCACAGCGAAAGACCCACUGCAGAGACUGCUUAAGAAGCCUUGAAUUUGAACAUGAGCCCUUGUGCAGGGCAGAAAAGCAGGGGCUGGGGAGGCAGAGUUGGGGACACAAUGGAGGCCUUUGCAUCCCAAACAGAUGAGCAUUUGUAGGUAUCAAAAUAGAGCCUACCAUGAGCUGUCAACCUGAGAUGGUGGGAAUUCCUGGUCACUGCUUCUUUCUGGCACUUGUUAGACAGGAAGAGGGAAGCACGACCUUUCAGAAUCUGUUAGAAAGCAGCAGGCCACUCCUGAUG